rnacentral:rRNA from 1 species
UACGUAGGGUGCGAGCGUUAAUCGGAAUUACUGGGCGUAAAGCGUGCGCAGGCGGUUUUGUAAGCCAGAUGUGAAAUCCCCGGGCUCAACCUGGGAAUGGCAUUUGGGACUGCAAGGCUGGAGUGUGGCAGAGGAGACUGGAAUUCCAGGUGUAGCGGUGAAAUGCGUAGAUAUCUGGAGGAACACCGGUGGCGAAGGCGGCAUCCUGGACCGACACUGACACUGAGGAGCGAAAGCCAGGGGAGCAAACGGG